UUGUGUGAAGUUUCUGCUAACUUGCUUUUCUGUAACUGCUCUGCUGCUUUGCGGGUUGUACCUUGAGAAGUAGGAGCAUGGCCUUCCCCUUGUGUUCCCCUCCAUUCCCCCCAGGCCCCACAUCCUAAGCACGUUCCCUGCUUAAGAGAUGUCCUUGAUUUAUGCUUGUGGUUAACAAAGAAGAGAACUGUUUUGUCCUAGUUUCACAGCCGCCCAGCUACACCCGGACGAUAAGAUAUGGCUAACUGAAAAAUGUAAACUGUGCAGAGCAUACCAGAAAUUGUAACUGUGUAAAGAGGUCACUGUGAUUGUGGCUUUGUACCGAGCCUUUGUCUAAAAAAUGUAUAAAAACCAUAUGCUCCCUUUGAUUAGGGCUCUCAGCCUCUGCCUGAUCUUCGGGUAUGUUGCAGAGCCCCAGCAUGCUGGAACAAUAAAGCCCGUGUUGUUGCAGAAAGAGCUGCCUUGGUGUCGUUCCUCUGCGCCUCCCUAGGUUGAGGUCUUCUCGACCCUAACUUUUGGAGGUUCCACCGAGAUUUGACCCAGCCAACGGGACGCCAGACAGGACGGCCCCAACUUACUCUUUGGGUGAUUGGGUCUACGUCCGCUGACACCAGGUACACAGCCUUGAGCCUCGGUGGAAGUGACCCUACUUGAUCCUGCUGACCACGCCAACUGCUGUCAAGGUCGACAGCAUUGUGGCCUGGAUCCAUGCUAGUCAGCUCAGACCUGCUCCUGCUGAUCAACACCAGAGCGGCACACUCCUGUCCCCUCCUGAGACUAACAGACUUGGGCAACCAGGUGGCACUGACGACCUUCACCAGUCUACAGGCUCUACUCCAAGCGCAGGAAACCGGUGGACUGCCCAUCGGCACCCAACCAACCCCUUCCGCAUCAAGCUGGCCCGUAAGAAUCCCACAACAUGACUCUGUUUCUCGGGCCAGUCCUUUCGCUCCUGGCAGCACUAACUCUGUGCAGCCAACUUCGAAUGAUUUAUAGCAAUCCCCAUGUGCCCCAACAAAUGGCAUGGGAGAUUUCAAAUCCUAUGGGCCAGGUCGUAUGGAAGAUACAUAGGACUCAUACCCCUGGUGCGUGGUGGCCAUCAUUAACCCCUGAUCUUUGCCAGUUAUUCAUGGGGUUAGAUACCUGGGACAUACCAGACCAAGAAAACCAGAAUAAAAUGCCCAUUUGCAUGCCUUACCCUCUUGAUAAGGAGCCCUACUAUGGGUGCUCGACUGCCCAGGUCCGAUGUGCACUUAGCUCCCUAGAUUUUUAUGUUUGUCCUAAGGAUGGGCGGAAGCGAGCCCAAGUUCUAAAAUGUCCAGAAUCUUUCUACUGUAAGGCUUGGGGGUGCGAGAACACAGGAUAUGCCUAUUGGUGACCCUCAUCCUCAUGGGAUUGGAUCCAAGUCCAGAGAAAUAAUACCCAUCACAACAAAAGGGAUCCAAUACCAGCCUGUUGGACUGGAGUAUCAGGAUGUGAGAAGUCGGCACUGUGUAAUGGCUUAAAUAUUACCUUUACACCCGCUGGGAGAGACCCUUCUACUUUAACUCAAUGGUAUAAAGGAAGGACAUGGGGACUGCGGUUAUAUAAAGAGGGUUAUGAUGAUGGUCCAUGGUUUACCAUCCGCUUGCGGACGAUAGAGACUCCUAAACCAGUAGGUCCUAAUCCAGUUCUCAAACCAUCUCGUCCAGCCCCAAUGCCAGGACCCCCUUCGGAGCCCCACUCUCUGCCCACAACUGGCAGCCCCACUUUGGGAACUCUAGCUCCGGAGACCUCUUCUCCCACCUCACCAUCCUCGACCCAAUUCCCUCUAACAUCCCCCGUUACUCAGUCUCCCCCCGGUCCAGCAUUAUUCCACUUAAUAAAGGGGGCCUAUUCUGCCCUGAAUGCUACUCAUAGUGAGCUAACGACCUCCUGCUGGCUCUGCUUAUCAGCUUCCCCUCCCUAUUAUGAAGGUGUAGCCAGUAAUGGAACCAUUAGUUCCACCACGGCCUGUAGUUGGGAUGCAAAACCCGGGUUGACCUUCCCUGAGGUGAGAGGCAAGGGAACCUGCAUCAGGACCGCUCCUACUGCCUUGCAAGAUUUGAAACCAUGGACUCUAAUUCUUCUGAUCCCUAUCUGGCACCUAGCUCUGGCCUAUGGUGGGCCUGUGACACAGGGCUCACCCCUUGCAUCUCUACUGGCAUCUUCAAUGCCUCUGCUCAUUUCUGUGUGAUGGUACAACUAUAUCCCCGCAUUCUAUGCCACUCCUCCGACAGCUUUGAAGACCAUUUCAGGCCCCUGGUCACUCGCUAUAAGAGAGAGCCUAUUUCUAUUUCUCUGGCUAGUCUCAUGGGCCUAGGGGUUGCAGCAGGAGUGGGAAUGGGAGUAGGUUCCAUGGUGCAUACUUCCAGCCAAAUUGCCUACCUACAGGCUGCCAUUGAUCAAGACCUUAAGGCAUUAGAAACCUCUAUCACUGCCUUAUAGGACUCUCUGACCUCCCUAGCUGAGGUGGUCCUCCAGAAUAGAAGGGACUUAGAUCUCCUGUUUAUGAAAGAGGGUGGCCUAUGCGCCGCUCUUGGGGAAGAAUGUUGCUUUUAUGCAGACCACUCUGGAAUGGUCCAGGAAUCCAUGGCCUGGAGGCUCGCCAACAAGAAAGAGAGGCUCAGAGAGGAUGGUUCCAAUCUUGGUUUUCUCAGUCACCUUGGCUGACAACUCUUUUGUCAGCGCUUGUGGGACCCAUACUUUUUCUCCUCCUGCUUUUGACUAUAGGACCCUGUAUUUUAAAUAAGUUGAUAGCCUUUGUACAAGAUAGAAUAAGACAGAUCAAGUUAAUGGUAAUAAGGCAACAAUAUGAAGCAUUACACUCAGAUGAUCUUCACAAUCUCUAAGGUUAGAGAUACCCACAAGAAGAAGUGGGGAAUGAAGAGAUCCAGAGCUGAAAGAGUUAAAUUGUGUGAAGCUUCUGCUAACUUGCUUUUCUGUAACUGCUCUGCUGCUUUGCAGGUUGAACCUAGAGAAGUAGGAGCAUGGCCUUCCCCUUGUGUUCUCCUCCAUUCCCCCAAGGCCUUACAUCCUGAGCACUUUCCCUGCUUAAGAGAUGUCCUUGAAUUAUGCUUGUGGUUAGCAAAGAAGAGAACUGUUUUGUCCUAGUUUCACAGCCGCCCAGCUACACCCGGACGAUAAGAUAUGGCUAACUGAAAAAUGUAAACUGUGCAGAGCAUACCAGAAAUUGUAACUGUGUAAAGAGGUCACUGUGAUUGUGGCUUUGUACCGAGCCUUUGUCUAAAAAAUGUAUAAAAACCAUAUGCUCCCUUUGAUCAGGGCUCUCAGCCUCUGCCUGAUCUUCGGGUAUGUUGCAGAGCCCAGCAUGCUGGAACAAUAAAGCCCGUGUUGUUGCAGAAA